GCUUGUGUGUCUGGCUAGCCAUGCCUUAUUCCUGCUUCUGCCAUUAUCUUGCUGUGUGACUUGGUCAAGUCAUGUAGCCUUUCUUUUAAUAUUUUCUAACUUGUGAACGUCCCUUAUGAUGAUCUCACAUUUCAAAUCCUAGAGAUCACUAUGUUGAUAUGUGGGUGAGAGGAGUCUUGUCGGAGGACUUGCUUAUUGCAAUGUCAAAUGUAGUUAUAAGUCACUGAAAUUUAGGUUUGAAGGAGUCGCUAGAACAGAAGUUCUCACAUCUGUCUGCUGAUCAGAAUUGUCACUGGAAAUUUUAAAUCACAGACUUCAACUCUGGUUCUAGACAUUCGGAUUCAGUAGAUCCAGG